CCUACGGGGGGCAGCAGUGGGGAAUAUUGGGCAAUGGGCGAAAGCCUGACCCAGCAACGCCGCGUGAAGGAAGAAGGCUCUCGGGUUGUAAACUUCUUUUGACAGGGAAGAGCAGAAGACGGUACCUGUCGAAUAAGCCACGGCUAACUACGUGCCAGCAGCCGCGGUAAUACGUAGGUGGCAAGCGUUGUCCGGAUUUACUGGGUGUAAAGGGCGUGUAGCCGGGCUGACAAGUCAGAUGUGAAAUCCGGGGGCUCAACCCCCGAACUGCAUUUGAAACUGUUGGUCUUGAGUAUCGGAGAGGCAGGCGGAAUUCCUAGUGUAGCGGUGAAAUGCGUAGAUAUUAGGAGGAACACCAGUGGCGAAGGCAGCCUGCUGGACGACAACUGACGGUGAGGCGCGAAAGCGUGGGGAGCAAACAGGAUUAGAUACCCUUGUAGUC
rnacentral:rRNA from 1 species